rnacentral:rRNA from 6 species
GACACGACUCUCGGCAAUGGAUAUCUCGGCUCUCGCAUCGAUGAAGAGCGCAGCGAAAUGCGAUACUUGGUGUGAAU